UAUUCAGGUUAUAUAGUCCUAUGGCUUUUUACAUACUUCAUUCUUAUUACUAUAUAUGUCAUACAUUAACUUUUUCUCCCACAAUUGCAGAUGGAAAAUCCGUUUUCAGAAACAUAUAAUAAUGACUUGGGUCUUUCUUCUCCUGUUACUCCAACCACAAAACGAUUACGUAAUGAUGGUGAUGGAGUUCAAGAAUCAUCAACCAAGCAAAAAUCAACAUCUAAGGAUGCUACAGUUUGUAAAGACAAGGAAUCAUCACUCCAAGUAAAAAGCAUCAACAAAGUUGGUUCCAAAGAAAAGACAUUGUGAUAUGUUAUGUCAGUUUCCUUUCAUUUUCAUGAAUGUAAAUCAUCCCUUUCUGCUUCGUUUUUUUUAAUUAUGACUUUUUCUACUUUAACGUUUGUAGCUACUUAUGUAAUUCCACUAUGCUGAUUAAUGUUAUUGUUUAUUUAUGCAUUA